GCAUCUUUCAAAAGCUGAGUUCAGUGCUGAACUUGCCCGGACAUGUUUUACUGCUUGACCAUGCCUUCUAGGAGACAAAGGAUGAGCGGGAGAAACGGGAGUUUACAAGAAAAGUGUCCUGGAUGAGUUUGUGAAAAAAAGAAGAGAGGUCUAUCCGUGGCUUAAUGGUGGAUCUCAGAGACAUGGAGGAGGAUCUCUUCAAAGAGCUGUUGAUAGGAUGGUGGGGAUAUUGUCAAUGAAGUGAUGAAGAUUGUCAUAUAGGUACCACCAUGUCUGAUCCAACUAGCGUAAGGAUCUUCAUUGAGGGAACAGAAGUUCUGCAAGACCUGGACGUAACCAGAGCAUGUGCCUACAAUUGUGGCUGGUAUACGGACUCAACCUCAGCUACCCAAAAGAACUGAAAAAUACUUUUGAGGUACUUCAAAGAUAUUCCUUGAGCUGGAUGGGCUGCAGUGAAGAAUGUUGAAAUGUGAAGAAUUAGACUGUCCUCAAAUUCAACAGGAUUAUGUUUGUACAUGUUUGUACUGUUGACAAUCGGCACUUCAUUAGGUAUAUCUACUUACAAUGCUUAGUGUUCUUGCCAGUUUUUUGGAAGUGUUAAUAUGUAUCAGACACUAUUUAAAAAGUCCCUUGGAAAACGUGCCACCAUAUUCGUUAUUUGUUCGUAGCUGUUUAAUAUGUUUUUUUUCAACAUCAGUAAUAUUAAAUUUAUGUAUUCCUUUUCACAUGGUUCAUGGUGUUUUUUUAUUGUAACCUUUAACAUGCACAGAGAAUGAAGCAAUGGAUUCAGGGAAUUGGUCCUCCAAAAUUAACAUUAAUAAUCUGAGUAUGCUCCUUUUUUAAGGGCAACUUCCUUUUAAGAGACUGCAAAUAUUUCACUUAGAAGCUCCCAAACACACUUUUAAUUUCUGAUUUUGAAGGGGAACUUCGGUAUUUUCAACCUGAGCCCUAUUUCCCUGUGUGUGUGUGUGUGUGUGUGUGCCAGACUGAUGGGAAGAAGAAUACCUUUAAUUGGUCCAGUAUUGACGGAGAGCGCAUCAGCUUGCAGCCGCAAAACAAGCUAAAAACAUUGUUUUUAGGAGACUUAGUUUUACACAGCCGAAAAGACUGAAGGGUAAGGGAAAUGCUUUCCAUACUUUUGUCAGGACUUUAGAGUAACCACCUGAGCCUGUCAGAGGGAAAAAAAGAGCACUAUUUGUGAACAUGGUGUGCAUUUACCUCUUAGAGCUAUGUUUUAGCUGAUUUUGUUGCCACCGGCUGAUGCGCUCUCCCUUAAUACUGAACUAAUUAAUGAUAUUCUUCUCCCCAUCAGUCUGGUACACACACACGCAUGGGGAAAAAGGGCCCAGGUUAAAAAAUACUGAAGUUCCCUGUUAAAACAAAUUUGUGAAUUUAUUUAUUUAUUUUUGUCUAAGU